UUAGAACAUCAUAUUCUAUCAGGUCGGGUCAGAGUGUGAUUUCUGACAGUCGAACAUUGACAGCCAAAGAUGAUAGUUCUGAUGAUGAAAGUGAUGAUGAUAAUGACAAUUUUGGUGAACACACUAUCCAGGCAGACCAGGUUUUGUCGGACUAUUCUCUUGAUGUAUGUCCCCCGGGUUUUGACGUGCCAUUACUGGAUGACUUGCUCAAUGUGACAAUCCGUGAACAUGAUGGAGAUGAGCCCACAGAAGAUGUUGGAACCCAACAACAACAACAGCAGCAACAUAAGACGACUCAACCAGAAUACAUCUCUACUGUGGAAGAAGUCAGUCCUGAAGAUGCAAUCAAGAAGGAAAAGUGUAUUGUGUUUACAGACACUCUUAUAGCUUUGAUAACAUCAUUACAUGGGAGUGUUUGUAAACGACAAGGAUGUGGCCGUGUGUUGAGCUAUAAGAAAACAUAUGUUGGAACAUGCCUGGUCGUAUCCUGGGGGUGUAGGUCUGGUCAUGUUGGAGGCAGAUGGGCAGCUCAACCCUAUUGCAACAAGAUUAGAGCAGGCAACCUUGUGCUUGCUUCUGAUUUGUUGUUGUCUGGCAAUUCCUACACCAAGGUGGGGUUGAGUUCAACUUCUAUUAUCUGCAGUAUUUCUCAUCAAUAUUAUUCAAUCAGUAUCAGAAGUUGUACAUCAUCCCUGCCAUUAAUGACUACUGGGAAGAACACAAACAGAAAUGUUGGAAAGAAAGAGAGAACAAAGAGGUUAUAUUGAGUGGUGAUGGAAGAAAUGACUCGCCUGGCCAUAGUGCACAAUAAUGUACUUACAGCUUGGCUGAUACCAAUGAUCGUGCCAUACUGCAAAUGAAUGUGGUUGAUGUCAGAGAAGCUGCUGGUAAGAGCAAUAAUAUGGAGAGGAUUGGGUUUGAAAGAGGGAUGGACACACUGUUUGCAUCACCAAUAGUUAUGAAGGAGGUGGUAACUGAUGGUCAUAUUGAAAUUGCUGCAUUGAUGAAAAGGGAAGAGAAAUAUAAGGAGGUCACACAUCAGAAUGAUGUGUGGCAUGGAGCAAAGAACAUUGCAAAGAAAAUCACUACUGCUGCUAAAUCUAAAGACAAUGCAGAUUUGACCUUUUGGGCACCAUCAAUAAGGAACCAUUUUUGGUAUUGUUCAAAAACAUGUGCUAAUGACUCAAAAAAUCUCAAAGAUAAAUGGAUUGGUAUUUUACACCAUGUUGUUGAUGAGCAUGAGUGGGUGUUGAAGGAAGGUGUAAAUGGUGGAAAAUGUGAACAUGAUCCUCUUAAUUAAAGUGAGAGAAAGAAGCCAUGGCUUAAGAAAGAGUCUUCUGCCCAUAAAGCACUGGCAAAGAUCAUUCUGGACACUCGCUUUUUAAACACUUUGGUGUAUUAUGUUAACUUCAGGCACACAGGAUUUUUAGAGUCCUUUCAUAAUGUAAUUUUGAUGUAUGCUUCAAAGCGCCAUGCCUAUUCAUACUCAGUAUACCAAGCUAGAAACCAGCUUGCUGCCUUGGACUUUAACCACCACAGAGGCCGAGCACCAGCAACUACAGCUGAUGGGAAAGAAAGGUACGGUCGGAAGUUCAGUAAGCGUACACAACAGUGGUGCCGUGUUCGUGUUCUUGUACCAAAAGAAUUUAGUUACAUUCCUGAACUGAUGCAGAAGGUUUUUAUAAAGAGGAUCACAUCAAAAGGGAAUGUAAACAAAAGACUUGGUAUUCCAAGUAAUGAUCCUAGACAAAUUGCACCCAAUAUUGCCCCUGUUCCUCCUCCAUCAGUACAGACACUUGUCGACACACAUAAAACAAGAUUUUAAUGGUUGUGUGCAAAAUAAAGUUACUUUGGGUAGGUGGAGCUCAUUAGCCAUGGUAGGCAGUGCAGUUCACCUAACAGAAGGAAAACUCUAAUUUCACACCCCCAGACCCUAGGUCAGGCUGUCCAUGUCAGAAUCAUUGAUGUUAUCAUCAUUUCAUUUGUGUUUCCUAGGCAUGCUGACGAGCUCUGAUAUAGAGCGAAACAACCAUAAAUUUAAGAGCCCAUUAUCAAUGAAAUAUGACACAUAAUAUCUUAAAUGGAAUGUUUUAUUAAAUUAUUAUGAUAUAUGUAUAGGGUGUCCCAAAAAACUAAACACUUUGAAAUUGGAAAAUUAGCAUUUAGGUUGAUGCUAAUCAUGCACAUGGACAAUUACAACAACUAAAUCAGCAUUACAAUGUAUGAAGACUAAAAUGAAAAAUUUACCCAGCUAUAUAUUUUAUUACCUUGCUGGCUCAGACCAAUU